GGAACGAAACGCGCAGGGCGAACAACCUGCGAACUGACGGUACCGGAGGAAUAAGCACGGCUAACUUCGUGCCAGCAGCCGCGGUAAUACGAAGGGUGCAAGCGUUACUCGGAAUUACUGGGCGUAAAGGGUGCGUAGGUGGUUAUUUAAGUCUGCUGUGAAAGCCCCCGGGCUCAACCUGGGAAUGGCAGUGGAGACUGGAUAGCUAGAGUGCGGUAGAGGGUAGUGGAAUUCCCGGUGUAGCGGUGAAAUGCGUAGAGAUCGGGAGGAACACCAGUGGCGAAGGCKGCUACCUGGACCAGCACUGACACUCAAGCACGAAAGCGUGGGSAGCAAACAGGAUUAGAUACCCUGGUAGUCCACGCCCUAAACGAUGCGAACUGGACGUUGGGAGCAACUUGGCUCUCAGUGUCGAAGCUAACGCGUUAAGUUCGCCGCCUGGGGAGUACGGUCGCAAGACUGAAACUCAAAGGAAUUGACGGGGGCCCGCACAAGCGGUGGAGUAUGUGGUUUAAUUCGAUGCAACGCGAAGAACCUUACCUGGUCUUGACAUGUCGCGAAUCCUGCAGAGAUGCGGGAGUGCCUUCGGGAAUGCGAACACAGGUGCUGCAUGGCUGUCGUCAGC
rnacentral:rRNA from 1 species